AGUGAACGCUGGCGGUAGGCCUAACACAUGCAAGUCGAACGGCAGCAUAGUAAGAGCUUGCUCUUACGGGUGGCGAGUGGCGGACGGGUGAGGAAUACAUCGGAAUCUACUUUUUCGUGGGGGAUAACGUAGGGAAACUUACGCUAAUACCGCAUACGACCUACGGGUGAAAGCAGGGGAUCUUCGGACCUUGCGCGAUUGAAUGAGCCGAUGUCGGAUUAGCUAGUUGGCGGGGUAAAGGCCCACCAAGGCGACGAUCCGUAGCUGGUCUGAGAGGAUGAUCAGCCACACUGGAACUGAGACACGGUCCAGACUCCUACGGGGGGCAGCAGUGGGGAAUAUUGGACAAUGGGCGCAAGCCUGAUCCAGCCAUACCGCGUGGGUGAAGAAGGCCUUCGGGUUGUAAAGCCCUUUUGUUGGGAAAGAAAAGCAGCAGGUUAAUACCCCGCUGUUCUGACGGUACCCAAAGAAUAAGCACCGGCUAACUUCGUG
rnacentral:rRNA from 1 species